UUUAGGCAAUUGAUACAGAGUACCACACUGGAGUCGCUCGAGCACAUUCUUAAUAUCAAUGUCUUCAACUAGACUAUCAUGACAUGCCUCUUUUAGAUCAGAGAUGUCAUACUUAUCAGCUGCCCGAAGAAGUUCCAAUCGAGAUGUUUACAGCGGACAGUUCUUUCUCUUUAAGGUCAUGAGAAAACAUGCUGCUGAAUACAGGCGACCUUGCGGCAAGAAUUGCACGAUGAGCUCCUAUGCUUCCAUCGGAAGUAUUGAUUACAAUAUCCGUGUGUAUGCCAUCAGAUAACAUCCGGCCAAGUGCUGUAACAGCUGUUGCAUUUGAUUCUCUGUUUGUUACUCCUUCAGCCCAGAUCGAGCGAGGCUCCUCGCCCUGUGUAAAAUUAUAUACUUAUUAGACCAUUUGAGACAAAUAUACAGUGUAUUUUAGCUACCAAUCUAUCUUAUGAUGAUUUUGGCGACACAAUAAGUCAUGCAAAAAUCAUUUCAGAUCAUAUUAUCACUCAUUUAUCCCCAUAUUUAUGGAUAUUACUGCGAUACUGCUA